rnacentral:rRNA from 1 species
AUUAUUGGGCAAUGGGGGAAACCCUGACCUAGUAACGCCGCGUGAAGGAAGAAGGUCCUCGGAUUGUAAACUUUCGUCUUUGGAUACGAACAGAUUCCGGUAUCCAAGGAGUAAGUCACGGCUAACUACGUGCCAGCGACCGCGGUAAUAAGUAGGUGGCGAGCGUUGUCCGGAAUUACUGGGUGUAAAGGGUGCGUAGGCGGGACAUAAAGUCAGAUCUGAAAUACCAAGGCUUAACCUUGGGGCUGCAUUUGAAACUUAUGUUCUUGAGUGGAGUAGAGGCAAGCGGAAUUCCCAGUGUAGCGGUAAAAUGCGUAGAUAUUGGGAGGAACACCAGUGGCGAAGGCGGCUUGUUGGGCUUUAACUGACGCUGAUGCACGAAAGCAUGGGGAGCAAACAGG